rnacentral:rRNA from 1 species
CGAGUGGCGAACGGGUGAGUAACACGUGGGUGAUCUGCCCUGCACUUUGGGAUAAGCCUGGGAAACUGGGUCUAAUACCGAAUACACCCUGCUGGUCGCAUGGCCUGGUGGGGGAAAGCUUUUGCGGUGUGGGAUGGGCCCGCGGCCUAUCAGCUUGUUGGUGGGGUGAUGGCCUACCAAGGCGACGACGGGUAGCCGGCCUGAGAGGGUGUCCGGCCACACUGGGACUGAGAUACGGCCCAGACUCCUACGGGAGGCAGCAGUGGGGAAUAUUGCACAAUGGGCGCAAGCCUGAUGCAGCGACGCCGCGUGAGGGAUGACGGCCUUCGGGUUGUAAACCUCUUUCAGCAGGGACGAAGCGCAAGUGACGGUACCUGCAGAAGAAGCACCGGCCAACUACGUGCCAGCAGCCGCGGUAAUACGUAGGGUGCGAGCGUUGUCCGGAAUUACUGGGCGUAAAGAGCUCGUAGGUGGUUUGUCGCGUUGUUCGUGAAAACUCACAGCUCAACUGUGGGCGUGCGGGCGAUACGGGCAGACUGGAGUACUGCAGGGGAGACUGGAAUUCCUGGUGUAGCGGUGGAAUGCGCAGAUAUCAGGAGGAACACCGGUGGCGAAGGCGGGUCUCUGGGCAGUAACUGACGCUGAGGAGCGAAAGCGUGCGGAGCGAACAGGAUUAGAUACCCUGGUAGUCCACGCCGUAAACGGUGGGUACUAGGUGUGGGUUUCCUUCCUUGGGAUCCGUGCCGUAGCUAACGCAUUAAGUACCCCGCCUGGGGAGUACGGCCGCAAGGCUAAAACUCAAAGAAAUUGACGGGGGCCCGCACAAGCGGCGGAGCAUGUGGAUUAAUUCGAUGCAACGCGAAGAACCUUACCUGGGUUUGACAUGCACAGGACGCUGGUAGAGAUAUCAGUUCCCUUGUGGUCUGUGUGCAGGUGGUGCAUGGCUGUCGUCAGCUCGUGUCGUGAGAUGUUGGGUUAAGUCCCGCAACGAGCGCAACCCCUAUCUUAUGUUGCCAGCGCGUUAUGGCGGGGACUCGUAAGAGACUGCCGGGGUCAACUCGGAGGAAGGUGGGGAUGACGUCAAGUCAUCAUGCCCCUUAUGUCCAGGGCUUCACACAUGCUACAAUGGCCGGUACAAAGGGCUGCGAAUCCGUGAGGUGGAGCGAAUCCCUUGAAAGCCGGUCUCAGUUCGGAUCGGGGUCUGCAACUCGACCCCGUGAAGUCGGAGUCGCUAGUAAUCGCAGAUCAGCAACGCUGCGGUGAAUACGUUCCCGGGCCUUGUACACACCGCCCGUCACGUCAUGAAAGUCGGUAACACCCGAAGC